GACGAACGCUGGCGGCGUGCUUAACACAUGCAAGUCGAGCGGUAAGGCUCCUUCGGGAGUACACGAGCGGCGAACGGGUGAGUAACACGUGAGCAAUCUGCCCUUCACACAGGGAUAACUCCGGGAAACCGAAGCUAAUACCUGAUACGACCACUUCAGGCAUCUGAUGGUGGUGGAAAGUUCCGGCGGUGAAGGAUGAGCUCGCGGCCUAUCAGCUUGNGGUGGGGAAUGGCCACCAAGGCAACGACGGGUAGCCGGCCUGAGAGGGUGACCGGCCACACUGGGACUGAGACACGGCCCAGACUCCUACGGGAGGCAGCAGUGGGGAAUAUUGGACAAUGGGCGAAAGCCUGAUCCAGCAA
rnacentral:rRNA from 1 species